AAAUGCAUAGGGAAUAAUGGCCUUUCUUCUCUAGGUGUCUGUCAGAAGGACUCUUCCAGACAUCCAAACCAUCCCCAAACAGCCCACUGGGGGCCCGAAAGCAAGGAGCGGCAACUUCCGGAGGGGAGCUGAGGCUGUUGCUUCAGGAUACAAAAUGACAGCAGUCGUCUUUAGUCCUAGCAAGAAUGUCAUGAAUGUGGAUGAGGUCCAAAGGAAGGGCUAUGCAAUAGCCAACACUCCCACACGGCUGGUGUUAAGAAGCCCUCAUAAUGCAGAGGAGACAUACCUCCAGAAUGUAGCUGGGGUUCCGAUGCGGGUGCUCUCAACCUCAACCUUCUUUGAGCAGAAGUGGCUGGUUACUCGAGUAGAUGCCACGGCUGUUUGUCCAACACCAGAGGCAGUGGCCUUUACUCCAGAAGUGAUCACCUGGUACAUGCCCAAGCACA